rnacentral:rRNA from 1 species
CCUACGGGAGGCAGCAGUGAGGAAUAUUGGUCAAUGGGCUUACGCCUGAACCAGCCAAGUCGCGUGAGGGAAGACUGCCCUAUGGGUUGUAAACCUCUUUUGUCAGGGAGCAACGCCGGCUACGUGUAGCCGGACUGAGAGUACCUGAAGAAAAAGCAUCGGCUAACUCCGUGCCAGCAGCCGCGGUAAUACGUAGGGGGCAAGCGUUAUCCGGAUUUACUGGGUGUAAAGGGAGCGUAGACGGCAGUGCAAGUCCGGAGUGAAAGCCCGGGGCUCAACCCUGGGACUGCUCUGGAAACUGUAAAGCUGGAGUGCGGGAGGGGCAGGCGGAAUUCCUGGUGUAGCGGGGAAAUGCGUAGAUAUCAGGAGGAACACCGGCGGCGAAGGCGGCCUGCUGGACCGUAACUGACGUUGAGGCUCGAAAGCGUGGGGAGCAAACAGGAUUAGAUACCCGUGUAGUC